rnacentral:rRNA from 1 species
UACGUAGGUGGCAAGCGUUGUCCGGAAUUAUUGGGCGUAAAGCGCGCGCAGGCGGCCUCUUAAGUCUGAUGUGAAAGCCCCCGGCUCAACCGGGGAGGGCCAUUGGAAACUGGGAGGCUUGAGUAUAGGAGAGAAGAGUGGAAUUCCACGUGUAGCGGUGAAAUGCGUAGAGAUGUGGAGGAACACCAGUGGCGAAGGCGACUCUUGGCCUAUAACUGACGCUGAGGCGCGAAGCGUGGGAGCAAACAGGA